UACGGAGGAUGCAAGUGUUAUCCGGAAUCACUGGGCGUAAAGCGUCUGUAGGUGGUUUAAAAAGUCCACUGUUAAAAAUUGAAGCUUAACUUCAAAGAUGCCGUGGAAACUUUUAAACUUGAGUAUGAUAGGGGUAGAGGGAAUUUCCAGUGGAGCGGUGAAAUGCGUAGAUAUUGGAAAGACCACCAAUGGCGAAGGCACUCUACUGGGCCAUUACUGACACUGAGAGACGAAAGCUAGGGGAGCGAAUGGG
rnacentral:rRNA from 1 species